ensembl:lncRNA
ACAAAGGGAAAAUCAAUGUCAUCGAUUGCUUAGUCACCAAAGUGAGCGGAGGCAUGACCAUAUCCCAUCAAAAAGUGUCAUUGAUGCACGGCGUGGCGUGCACUGAGGGCCAUGCCACCUCCAGAACCAGGAGCGCACAAAGCACCGGGGGGGGCACAGGGGUGCCAGGGCAGCCAUGGAGCCCUUCUCCUGUCAGCUCGCCUUACGGAAAAAAGGCGGUUGAUACACGAACGGUUUACCUACAUGCGAGAACAUCAACAAGAAAGAAAAUCAUACCGGAAGUGCACGCAGUAUUCACAUUUAAUAUGUAAAGUUUGCUGUGACGAUCAAGAUGGAUCCUUCGGAAGUAUCAGUUCAUCACAAACUGGAGAAAGAGGAGCAGCCAAUAGCCGCUGAGAUUAGAGUGGAACUGGGCAAGGAGACGGAAGAGGCAGAAGUUAUAUGGGAGAGCAAUGAAUCAGAUGAUCUGUCCCAGGUCAACUCAAAGGACAAGACGCUCUCAGCAGAAGGGCCGGAUUCCAUUUUAGACUG